UAUGCUGGUGAGCUUUUGGGAUUGUUACUCAGUAUUAUUGUGCAGAUAUAAUCAGAUAUCAACAGAUAGCUGAUAAAAUAAUCAUAUAAACACAAUGCAUUUGAUAAAUUGGUGUACCUUUUAUACAACUUGGAAAUGCCAGCUUGCAAAAGCUCAAUCAUGUCACCUAACAUAUGCCAAAAUUUCUUUUAUAAUUUCAUGCACACUGUCAGUAUACAAUACUCCCAACUUUGUUUUGGGAAUUAUUUUGUAACUUAGCUGACGACUGUAACUCAUAAUGAUAUAUAUAAGAGGAUACUAGUUGAAAAGAGAUAGUUUACUCCAGAGUCAGGUUCACUGGCAAUGAAUCAUAUUUGGCAUAAUAAUGGUGUGGGGUAUUUUUUAAUUGUUCUUCCCCUCUGGUGGAAACUCCUAUUGCAGCUUUUGGGGCUGCAUAGAGAAGAGAGAAUUGAGCUCACCUCCAAAAAGGCAAGGUCAGAAAUACUCUGGUACUUGUUUUAACCCCACAUUGCUUAGCAGAGGGCAGUAAGGUUCAGACAGAACCAAAUAGCAGGGUUGAUUUUACCCACACAAUUUUCCUAAUAAUAGUCAUGCAGUAAUUAUAUGCAUGGCAACUGUGUACCAAACUACUGUGGUGAUCUAUUUAAGCAAUAGAAACGGAAAUCUCUACAUACAAUACUUAUUACUCAUAGGAAAAGAUGAACUUAAAUACUAUUUACAUCAGUUCAGAUAAUGCACUAUCACUAAAGCCAAUAGCAAACCAUAUAAUGAAGUGUCGAAAGAACAUUUUUGAACCAUAUUUAUGGUCUUUAUUCUAAUCCUGAUCUAUGGCAGCUUACCAAAAAUUUCCAAAGGCAACUAUAAUUCUAAGCAGGCCAAAAAUACAUUGCUACUCAGUCCACCCUCUUCCCAACCUUUUAACCCCAAGAUGGUCACCAUAGUGUUCAAUAUUGUGGUCAGAGUCCAAGAGUUUUAAUGUCCAGGUUACUUCUGGCUACUGGGGUUUUUUUUCUUCCAGCUACUAAUUUAACCCAAUUGCCUCCUAAAAUUGUCUCUGGCGAUACAUUUAAAAAUGUGGGGAAAACAGACAAAAUAGCUCUUCCCUCCCUGUCUUCCAGUCGAGAACAUUCCUUCCAAUCAAAUCGAUAUCAACUUUUCUGUGCAUGAUACUGUUGCAGCCACCAAUUUAUAUAAAGCAACAGAAUCGGGGUGAAGAUGGACAUACAUAUACACACUGAGCUGAAGAAUGUAAUAUUUAAAUAAAAGGUUGGAAAGAUGCCACGGUGCAGUAGGUGUGGACUUGAGACUAAAAUGUGGGACUGGACAAAAUGGCCAUCAUGGUGUCUUCCACCCUGAGACUCAUUGAUGGAUAUCCACGAGAAUGGUAAGGGUGUUUGGAACAGAGAGAAACUUCUAGCAGGCUGAGAUAAUCAGAAAAGGCAGGCCUGCCAGAAACAAUGAUACCCCAGAGGCAACCAGCAUACUUAGCUCUUAACUUUUGCUUUUUGAAUACCAUUUCCCAGUUUCAUUUCUGCUGAGGAUAUAGAAAGCUGUAAGAGAAUGGCACGCCCACCCUGACAAUAAGAAAAAUAAAUCCACAAAAUCAUAAUCUUUUGAGCCCAUUAGAAUGUUGAGGUUGAAGGACAAUGAAGUGAACUGACUUCCAAAGGGUGACAUUUUUGACUGGGGGAGGGAGGACGCACAUACGCACUGUUUGUAUGCACCUCUGACGGCCCGUGGGAGAAAGAGGUGGUAGCCAGAAAAGCAGGUGAGAAGAAAACAACUAAGAUGUUAACAAAUUCUGUGUGGGGCGUGUGACAGUGUAGGACUGCUGGGAUCUCCAAACGCAAGGGGAAUCUGCCUCCACUUGCCAACUCUUUUUCCACAGGCCUCUGAACGCUCCCCAGAAACUCUGAGGACAGAAGCUCCUGUUCCAGAAGAUGGAAGACAUAAGUGAAUGGUAAGAAAAGGGGGUGUCCCCAGGGAGGCUCCACUUCCUCACAGACACCAGGCUCCCUAGGGGCCUGCCUGGGGCACACCCUUGCUUGGGGUGGACACCCAGUGACUACCACUCAUGCGCCUUACUCCUUUCCUCCUUAGAACACCCCUGAACAAGGGUGCCUGUCCUUGGAUGUCUCAGACCUACUGUGACCCCAACCAGCCCCAGCCCCACCUCCUGUCCCGGCUCCCCCACAGGCUCCUGCCGUUCACAGUUAAGUAUUCACCCACCGGGGCUCAAAGCACAGUGCUCUGAAUCCCAGGCAGUGUCUCGUCGCUCGUUACUGGUUGGCUUCUUCUCAGCCAGAAAGUGUGUUCAGAGGGCCUGUUCACAUUCUCAUCGGAAGUCUUUAAAACUAUGGCACUGACAGCCACACAUGGCAUCUUCUUGCUAUAUAACAACCAUCCAGGGCGACUCUGCAGUCUCCUUCAGAUAUCCUACACACAUCACAGUCCAUUACAGGCCACCCCAUCACAAUUUCUCAUAUGAAAAUACUCUCUUUCCUCCUUGUUUCUUGCCCAACUCACCUAGCCACCCUGGCUAAAGAAAUCUCCAACUCCAUCUACAAACGCACCAUGCACUAUCUCACUCUGAGGUCCCCUGGUGUAGUUCACCUUGCUGCUCCAGCCCCAUUUCUCCCCACUUCUGACCCGCUUACCAACUUCCAGAGGGAAGAGGGAAGAAACCUGGUACUCACUAUACACACAGUAGGCAAAUACACAUUCCGUUCUCAUCGUUUCAUUGUUAUGUCCCAAAAGAAACAAAGGCUCGGGCUACUUGUAAAUGACCACAUGGUUGGUAAAUAGAGACCUGGGAUUGAAACAACUAACCCCAUAACCCAUGCUUCUUCUUGCAUUCCUUGGUGCUCUCUUUGAAGGCCUAAAGAGGUAAGAACAGUGAGGGAAACCCUGCACCUCUCCACUCCCAGUUGGGCAUAUUACAAAAAAUUAAUCAGAUGCAUUUUUCCAAUUUUCUACCCAAAUCACCCUCACCAAUUUAUCAGGGGGGGGGGUUAACGCUUCCCACUCUCUGCAGCAGAUGGAGAAACUGGCCAGGGCCAUAAGAGAGGUAUUUUCCAGGCUUUGACAAAGUAACUCCCCCUUACUUGGGAGAUUUUUCAUUUGUUCCUCAACUUUACACCUAAGAAAUUCCAAUACUGAGCUACUUUCAAUACACAGAGACUAACAGAGAAAUAAAAAGGAAACUGCUGUGGUUUAAAGGUCCCCUCCAAAACUCAGGUUGAAAUUUAAUUGACAUUGCAACUGUGUUGAGAGGCGGGACCUUUAAAGGGUGAUCAGGUCACGAGGGCUCUGUCUUCAUGAAUGGAUUCAUGCCAUUAUCCCAGGAGUGAAUUUGUUUUCACAGGAGUUGGUUCCUGAUUAAAAGAAGGGGUCUGGCCCCUCCCAGUCUUGCUCUCUGUCUGGCGCACCUGCAUCCACGCCACAUGGUGCCUUCCACCACCUUGUGAUGCAACAAUAAGGCCCUCGCCAGAUGUGGACCCGGAUCUUGGACUUCCCAGCCUCCAGGUGUGUGAGCCAACUCAGGCACUCCGUGACAGCAGCAGAAAACAGACCCAGACAGAAAUGAAUUUGGAAGGUAGAGGGAAGAUCUCUAAAAUCAAAACUCCAGGCCCUGCAGCACAACUUUUAUUGGGAAGAUGCAGUCUGUAAUGAAAAUGAAAAUGAUGAUAAUAAUGGAAAUGUUCAUACUGUCAUCAUCAUCAUCAUCAAUAACGUAAGAUAAUUAGCAUUUAUUGAGAGCCUUGGAGCAGGCAAUGUAACAGGCGUGUUUAAUCUGCACAAAAAAAGGGAAGCUCUGAGAUUUUGAAUCAAAAUCUGUGCUGGCAAGGGUCUGAAACAACCUUUUUCUAGGUCCACCAUUCUGCUUGGAGCUCUAAGAUCCCUUUCACAAUUUCAGUUCUAAACUUGUUCUUGCUUAUUUGAAUAAAGGGACAUGUUCACUCCUGAGAA